rfam:Trichinella pseudospiralis scaffold131s, whole genome shotgun sequence.
UCCCAUGUGGUCUAGUGGCUAGGAUUUGCGGCUUUCACCCGCAAGGCCCGGGUUCGAUUCCCGGCAUGGGAA